rnacentral:lncRNA from 1 species
UUGCCAGGACCAGCAACAGGCUGUGAUUUGCUCAAAGUCCCAGCAAGUCGUCCCCAGCACUGCUGCUCCAUACCUGCACCACCUGCACUCCACAGACAACCGUUGUGCAGAACCCUCCCCUUGCCUAUCAAUCCCACCUCCAGACCUACUCAGCUCUAUCUCAUAAAAGUCUCACUUUGCUCUUGGCAGCUACAGUAGGGCUGCACACAGUGAAUGCCAACCCACCAACUCCAGAGUAUAUCACUCUGUGAUCUCAGG